rnacentral:rRNA from 1 species
AGUGAACGCUGGCGGUAGGCCUAACACAUGCAAGUCGAACGGCAGCACAGUAAGAGCUUGCUCUUACGGGUGGCGAGUGGCGGACGGGUGAGGAAUACAUCGGAAUCUACUUUUUCGUGGGGGAUAACGUAGGGAAACUUACGCUAAUACCGCAUACGACCUACGGGUGAAAGCAGGGGAUCAUCGGACCUUGCGCGAUUGAAUGAGCCGAUGUCGGAUUAGCUAGUUGGCGGGGUAAAGGCCCACCAAGGCGACGAUCCGUAGCUGGUCUGAGAGGAUGAUCAGCCACACUGGAACUGAGACACGGUCCAGACUCCUACGGGAGGCAGCAGUGGGGAAUAUUGGACAAUGGGCGCAAGCCUGAUCCAGCCAUACCGCGUGGGUGAAGAAGGCCUUCGGGUUGUAAAGCCCUUUUGUUGGGAAAGAAAAGCAGCAGGUUAAUACCCCGCUGUUCUGACGGUACCCAAAGAAUAAGCACCGGCUAACUUCGU